rnacentral:rRNA from 1 species
CCUUCCGGGUACAAUUGAGACAGGUGGUGCAUGGUUGUCGUCAGCUCGUGUCGUGAGAUGUUGGGUUAAGUCCCGCAACGAGCGCAACCCUUGUGUUUAGUUGCAAACAGGUCAAGCUGUGCACUCUAGACAGACUGCCGUGGACAACACGGAGGAAGGUGGGGAUGACGUCAAAUCAUCAUGCCCCUUAUGAUCUGGGCUACACACGUGCUACAAUGGCCGGUACAACGGGCAGCGAAGGAGCGAUCCGGAGCGAAUCCUAAAAAGCCGGUCCCAGUUUCGGAUUGCAGGCUGAAACUCGCCUACAUGAAGUUGGAGUUGCUAGUAAUCGCGAAUCAGAAUGUCGCGGUGAAUGCGUUCCCGGGUCUU